rnacentral:lncRNA from 1 species
CCACGAGGGCCACUGGGGCACCAGAGAGGCCUCUAAAUAAGACCUGAAAUGGCAGAAGUAUGAAAUAACAGACAUCAUCAACCAAGACAGAAAAAUGGUUACAGAGGUGGGCUCCGGCCCGCUGGGAGCUGGCGGCAAACUCUACCUCUCCCUUUUACUAUCUUAACCCGUCUGGACUUCCAUUAUCCAGAACACGUGAUGGAGACAGGGCCUGGGAUGGUGCUCGGGGAUCCGAGCAUUCACUGCUCAUGCCCCUGUGCAAUGCCCUGCACUUGAGCGUGGCUGGACCUAGUCACUAUCUUCUAAUUAAUAGAAUAGGGGAAAAAUGACAGAUGUCAGCUUCUGAGACUAAGUUAUAAGUGGGCUAUUGCUUUCACUGUGCCCUUGGCCCCUCUCUCCCUCUCUCCCUCCCAUGACAAGGAGCUGGAGGUUGUCGUCAACAGCUGGAAGACUCAGCUGGGAAGCCAUCAAACCUGCCAAUGACCACGAGCCCCUGCACGCUUUGAUGGCGUCUCCGGAGGUCCUGAGCCAGAACCACCCGGCCAACCUUCCUUUUGAGGAUGUCCCUGGCUACAAUAGCUGGAAGAACGUGGCUUACUGCUUCAGGGUGCCAGAAGGGUGCCCAGGUCCUCAGCACCUUGCCACUCCCAUGGCCUCCAUAGCCUUCAGCUGCACCAUGCAGGGCCUGCAGCACGUAACCAGCCUGUGGUCCAAGAAACAGAGGGCUCAAGCUUGGGGCACGCAGAUCCUCCACUUCCAGAUCCCCAGAGGUAGAGAUGCAGUACCAGGCCUGGCCUCCUGCCCCAGCCACACUGGGACUGUGGUCUUAUAUAAAAUGUUCCUUGUUCUAAAAAAGGAGUUAAUGCAUUACCCUAGGACAGACUGUCUUCGGCUCUGCCAGUUUGUCACUUGCAGGAACUGGAGGCCUGGACCUUGGGUUUCCAAAACAGGCAUCCACAAAAAGAAGAAAGCUACAUCUGGGUGAGUGAGCAGGGAGACGCCUGGGUUCACACACAGACAGACACAGAGACACUGACACACACACACACACACAUACACAUACAGACACACAGAGACCCACACACACAUAUGUACAGACUCAAGCACAUAUACACAUACACGCACACAGAGACAAAUACAAGCUGAGACAUACAUAUGCAGACAGAUGACACACAUAAACACAUACAGACAGACACACACAUAUACACAUACAUAAAAACAGAGGUGCACAUGUAUACAGAGACGCACACAUACACACUCAUACGUACACCCACACAGGAAUCCCUGCACCGGGCUCCCUCCCGGGCACCCCAGCUUCAGCUCAAGGCUCCCGGGUGGGACAGGCACUCAGGAGGCGAGAUUCUAGCGCGACACAGAUGGGGCCCGGCCACACGGCAGCCCCUCCACCACUGCCCCGGAUUCUGAACAUCAGCAGCUUAACACAGCAGCCGCGGCAACUCCGUCUCAGAAUCAGACUUUGAGUUCGCACACGGCUCCCACCGUGAAGGGAUGCUUGUGUGUCAGUGGACUUGUCCUAAACUGUGGAGAAGGGAGGCUUUUGUUUGCUGGGUAUUAUUAAACAGUCAUCAGCC